CACCGUUCACACAAACAUGCCCUUAUGAGCAUGCGUUAAGAGUCACGUGAACACUUUCAAAGACGACCUAGGAUGCCAUUGUACGUAUUUUGAUGUAAGAAAUUAAAUACAGCUCUGAAUCACUAAUCAGUGUACAUUGAUGAAUUUCAGCAUAGACACUUUGUUAACGAUGUAAGGUGAAUGACGGGCCUUUUUGUCAUCAACUUUAUUGAGAGCGAAACUCAAAACGGUGCGAUGAAAAAAAGAAUCUAUUGUACAAGUAAUUGAUGAAUAUGACAGUUCAGAAAUUGAGAGGUCACUCAUAAGGGGGAACAGCUACAUUUAUAAGUACCAAGAACAGAAAAUACCGUCCGUUGGAUUUUUAUUUAAAAUCAUGAUAAAAUAUAAACUGUUUUGGAACUAAA